rnacentral:rRNA from 1 species
UACGAAGGGGGCUAGCGUUGCUCGGAAUCACUGGGCGUAAAGCGCACGUAGGCGGAUUGUUAAGUCAGGGGUGAAAGCCUCCAGCUCAACUGGAGAAGUGCCUCUGAUACUGGUCGUCUCGAGGGAGAUAGGGGCGUGCGGAACUUCCGGUGGAGCGGUGAAAUGCGUAGAUAUCGGAAGGAACACCGAUGGCGAAAGCAGCGCGCUGGAUCUCUUCUGACGCUGAGGCGCGAAAGCCAGGGGAGCGAACGGG